rnacentral:lncRNA from 1 species
CUUUGAAAUUCAACAUCUGCUUCUGGGUAGUUGGUUGAACAAGCCCACCUGACCAAGAGAGGGAAGCACGCUAACUGUUUUCAGUUUGGACACUCUUGGGGGCUUUUUAGUAAUUGCAUGUGUUUCUGAGCAAGUGAGUGUCUUUUGUGGGUACCAGACAACAGGAUUGCUCCUCUCAACUAGGGACAGUCUGAAGAAUUUUGGUGUGCAAAUUCAUCAAGCUCACCCCAUGGAAAGAGGAAGCUCCGCUGUUUCAG